rnacentral:rRNA from 1 species
AACGAACGCUGGCGGCAUGCCUAACACAUGCAAGUCGAACGAAGCCUUCGGGCUUAGUGGCGCACGGGUGCGUAACGCGGGGGAAUCUGCCCCUUGCUUCGGAAUAACAGUUAGAAAUGACUGCUAAUACCGGAUGAAGUCUUCGGACCAAAGAUUUAUCGGCAAGGGAUGAGCCCGCGUAGGAUUAGGUAGUUGGUGGGGUAAAGGCCUACCAAGCCGACGAUCCUUAGCUGGUCUGAGAGGAUGAUCAGCCACACUGGGACUGAGACACGGCCCAGACUCCUACGGGAGGCAGCAGUGGGGAAUAUUGGACGAUGGACGCAAGUCUGAUCCAGCAAUGCCGCGUGAGUGAUGAAGGCCUUAGGGUUGUAAAGCUCUUUUACCAGGGAUGAUAAUGACAGUACCUGGAGAAUAAGCUCCGGCUAACUCCGUG